rnacentral:pre_miRNA from 1 species
UCUUAUGGAUGAGCAAAGAAGGUGAUUUCUUGAGAUAGAAUUCUACUCCUGGUGAAGACGCUAUGAA